CCUGACUCCAGGUGGGUUAUGAACAGAAGAAACAUAGGAAACCACUAAGCAACAGAGAUCUAGAUUUCCAGCAAGUGUCCCUGCUAAUGAAGAAGAGGAAAUUCACCAACUAGAAGAUAGAUGAAACAGUGAUGAGUGAAAGCGAAAUUUUCCAUGAGGCACCAGCUGUUAGUUAAAAACAACAGUGACAAGCUAAUAGGUUGGACAAGAAUGAUGCUGGCAAGGACAACCCAGAACUGCUCCUGUCAGUCUGCAGAUCACCUGCAAUGGCAUGGCUGGGCAGGCGCAAUAGCUCCAGCCGAGCACUGCAAUUCUGCCCUACCAGUAUCCACUGCAUGUCACCCAUGCGACAGGCUCCAGUGCUAGUGCUUUGAGCAAGCAAGCACGACCCCAGCCCUGCAGAAGCUCAGACUCUGGUAGGGGACACAAAAAUACGUCAUGUGGAGUCAGCCUGAUACAGACAUGAAGUCUUAGGACAACACUUAAGAAGGCCAUAUCACACCUGAUGUUUCCAUUCUGCUUUUAAUAAAAGGACAUCACAUAUGAUGGUCCAUGGGAGAGAACACGGGCUUCAGUCAACUUUACCCUGGCCCAUGACAUCAUUCACAGCUUAAAUCAAGAAACAGGACAGGGAAUUCAGAGCCCUGCCUAAACCAGCCGCGAUUUCAAUAGACAAUGACAUUUACAUUGAGCCAACGCUAGACUGUGCGGAAUUGAAAAUCAUCCUGAUACAACCUGAUGAAAAGCAUAAGCGGGAGAGGCGAAAGCUGGGCCUGGGAGGACUUAGUCACAUUGGAAAUGUCUUUCCUAUGGGUGGUUUGGACACCUCACACCUCUUGGUCCAUCUGUGUAGUUGUCUCAAGAUCCCAGAGCACAUUCUUGCAGUGUGGACAGCUUUUCAAGUAGGGACCCUGGACUGUUUGGAGCAGAAUGAGGGGGCCCAGCCAGUGAACAUAACCUCAUUCUGGAAGCUGCAGUGGGGUGAGCGUGCAGGUGGAGAGGAGAGGGUUGGGCCCUUGGAGGGCAAAAGCAGAGGAUUAGCAGAGAGGAUGCUCGCUGUGCUGACGCCAUUGUCACCUACCCAGACUUGUUUCUGAAAGCAUCACAUUGCAGGAGGGUGCUGACAGAGGUGACACCGUCCCAGUUGCUGGAACACAUCCGCUGAACACAGGACUUGGGGGUUUUGUUUUUAUGGAGGUCUAGGGGCUGAGUGAACACCCUCACAUUGGAUGCAAAAUUUCUCUGUGCAUAUUUUUCGGGGGGGAAAACCCCUACCUUUCCUCAAAUCUUCAAGGUUCUUGAGACCCCCAGUAUGCAGAUCCUUCUGCUAACAACUGCACCAGGAGACCUCCUCAGGUACUGACUUGACUCACCCACCAACAUGGCCAGAGGACUCCCUAGAUGUGCUCAAGACUGUUGGAUCCAACACAGCCUGUGUGGGGAAGGGCAGCCACCUCCCCACUUUUUCUCUGUCUUUCUCUCGUUCUUUUUCUCCUAUGUUUUUUCCUUUGGCUCAAUGGCCUCUCUUCCCUUCUUAUCUUUCUCCUUCCUCCCACAAGUUUCCCACAUCACUUUUCUGCUUGCCUCUCCUGCCUUAUUGAUUUGACAUAUUAAUCAUUACAACGACAGCUAAAAUUCCUCUGCGCUUCAUUAAUCCAGAGGAAAAUACCAUGUCAGCUGCAGAGUGCUGUAGGGGACACUCGUGCCCUUCCUGCGGUCUGGGAUAGUGGAAAGUUCUCCGUUUCCAUUAGUGACCAAGCAGGAGGCCAUUAUGGAAGGACACGGAGGGCCUAGGGGGUGGAUGGACAGGAAAAUGGGAAUGUGGGUGGGAUCCUAUUCCUGAAAGCGUUAGUCACCCAUCGUGGGCCUGCAGGACCUGGGCAGUUCCAGGACUUCGGCUGUAGAGGCUGAGUUGUAAAACCUUUGAGGGUUGCCAGGACCAGCGUGACUUUAAUAAGGUUAAAGUGUGGCAUUUUUACAACUUUGAUUAGGAUAAAGUUCUCAGUCACAUGAGGGGAAAAGAACUAACAAGGAUAUAUCUGAACUUAGCUGGUCAGACAUCAAGGUGUGCUCCAGCGUGGCCUCUCUUCGGGCUCCACAGGGGGUCCCUUGUGCUGUGGGUCCAGUGGUCCAGCCACAAUUUCCGCCUUGCAUGUGGAGAAAGCCUGCUCACCCCUCCCUGGUCUCUGGGACUAGUGGGGGAAAUGAAUCGGACAGCUAUUUUCAGACAGGAAGAGCCUUUGGGACAAGCUGACAGAGAGAACAAAUGCCCAUUCUCUGGCCAGAAGUGUCAGCGUGACCUUGGUCUGCUAUCAUACCAUCAGCCACACUAAGAGCAAGGGAGGUUGUUCCUUUCCCUAAAUGCUGUAGGUUUCAAUGGUUUUGUUUUCUACUUUUUUAAUGACCAGAGAUUGCAUACACUCACCAGAGAGAGACCAGGUCGGGAGGGCAACAAGGAAAGCACCCCGCCAAUGGGGUGUGGUCAUGCCAUAAUCCCU